AGUAACACGUGACUAACCUACCCUUGAGUGGGGGAAUUACUAGGAAACCUGGGCUAAUACCGCAUAAUACCUUCGGGUCAAAGGAGCAAUUCGCUUUAAGAGGGGGUCGCGGCGAUUAGUUAGUUGGCGGGGUAAUGGCCCACCAAGACGAUGAUCGGUAUCCGGCCUGAAGGGCGCACGGACACACUGGAACUGAAACACGGUCCAGACUCCUACGGGAGCAAGUGGGAAUUUUGCGCAAUGGGGGAAACCCUGACGCAGCAACGCCGCGUGGAGGAUGAAGCCCCUUGGGGCGUAAACUCCUUUCGAUCGGGACGAUAAUGACGGUACCGGAAGAAGAAGCCCCGGCUAACUUCGUGCCAGCAGCCGCGGUAAUACGAGGGGGGCGAGCGUUGUUCGGAAUUAUUGGGCGUAAAGGGUGCGUAGCGGUUCGGUAAGUCUUAUGUGAAAUCUUCGGGCUCACUCGAAGUCUGAUGAAAACUGCGGGCUUGAUAUGGGAGAG
rnacentral:rRNA from 1 species